AGGCUCUGGAGGUUUCUGUAGUUUCACCAACUCCCUGGCACUCUUGGCUUCCCGAUUCCGAUGUACACCACGAAGAGCAUUUGCAGCAAAUCUGGAGGCCAAGAAGGUGGCACCAAGGCUGUACGAACUGCCACUGGCAUUGCCACGAGUUCCUUCUGACUCCUCAGGUUCGUCCUUCUGACUAAGCUCCAUAGUUUUCCUUUUGGAAUAGCGACGCCAGGCUGCUUGAAUAAAGCAUGCAGCCCAAGUCCUCCACUGUUGGGAGUAAAAGCGAAAGGUGUGCUGAACCUGUCUACUGUGCAGGCGCCUAAACUGACUGGCAACAAACUUUAACUCUUCAGCAGUUAAGGCAAAAGCUUCAACUUCUGUUAAAGCUUUAACUGUUCGAGUAGAAGAUGGGAGAUUAGAGCCAGAUUUGGGAUCCAGUGCCCAGGUCAAAAGCUCCUCCCCACAGAAGUCGGCCUCUUUUAAAAAACCACGAUUGAAGAAUCCACUCCUCCCACCAUCUGUAGUAACACUCUCAAGGCGACCCCGUAUGAUGAAGAGCAUCUCAUCAACUGGAUCUCCUUCACGAACAAUCAUACCCUUCUCACUAGAGCCAGACAAAGGUGACGCUUAAUGUCUCUUCGAAGAUCCUUUGGCAAACUCUGAACCAAACUUUCUUCAUCUACACCACGUGUUGCCAACCACUUGUAUUGAUCAUAUCGUCUCACACGCUCUCUAAGCUCUUGUGGGAGCAAGCGAUGAUGCAUCCACUGUUCUGAAUCACGUCUUUUGACUCUCAUUUCCUCAAGUCUAAUUGUAAGAGACUGAAGAUAUGUCUGUAAUCAUAUAAAGAAAUCACAAUAUCAGUCACAAACAAUCCGCUCUUCAUGCUUUAGUAAUCAUAAACCUGGAAAGCUAUUUACAAAGCCAGUCUGAUAAGGAGAAACAAGUCAAACAACAGAAAACAAACAAACAGCCACUGUUCUCUCCUUGGUAUCUGUGUGCAUGUGUGAAUGUGUAUUUGGUCUGACUACUUUCAUGCA